rnacentral:rRNA from 1 species
GACGAACCGAGCGAACGUUAUUCGGAAUCACUGGGCUUAAAGGGUGCGUAGGCGGGCCCGUCAGUCAGGGGUGAAAUCCCACGGCCCAACCGUGGAAGUGCCUCUGAUACUGCGGGCCUGGAGGGGGAUAGGGGCGUGCGGAACUUCCGGUGGAGCGGUGAAAUGCGUAGAUAUCGGAAGGAACACCGGUGGCGAAGGCAGCUCGCUGGGACGGUACUGACGCUGAGGCGCGAAAGCGUGGGGAGCGAACAGG